rnacentral:rRNA from 1 species
GACGAACGCUGGCGGCGUGCCUAAUACAUGCAAGUUGAGCGCUGAAGGUUGGUACUUGUACCAACUGGAUGAGCAGCGAACGGGUGAGUAACGCGUGGGGAAUCUGCCUUUGAGCGGGGGACAACAUUUGGAAACGAAUGCUAAUACCGCAUAAAAACUUUAAACACAAGUUUUAAGUUUGAAAGAUGCAAUUGCAUCACUCAAAGAUGAUCCCGCGUUGUAUUAGCUAGUUGGUGAGGUAAAGGCUCACCAAGGCGAUGAUACAUAGCCGACCUGAGAGGGUGAGAGGCCACACAGGAGCUGAGACACGCACCAGAAGCAUACGGGAGGCAGAAGGAGGGAAUCUGAGGCAAGGGGGGAAAGCAGGACGAAGCAAUACUGAGUGAGUGAAUAAGGGUUUCGGAGGGGAAAAAGCUGUGAUGGGGGAAGAAAAAAGGUGUAAGGAACAAUGCAAGGAGUGAGGGUACCGAAGCAGAAAGGCACGGCGAAGUACGGG